AUACAAUUACUUUAAUGGACAAGGUGGUUCUUGUAUUCCGGGUGGCGGGAGGAAAGAGAUUGUGUUGGACGAUACACGUAAUUGUCUGACGGAUAGACCUGACCAACGGUCGGCUCAGGAAUGUGCUGUGGUGAUUAACCGUCCGGUUGAUUGUAGUAAGGACAAGUGUGCUGGUGGUGGAUCCUCUACUCCAUCGAGAUCAUCGCCGGUUCACAAGCCAUCACCGGUUCCAACUCCGGUUGUUGACAAACCGUCGCCGGUUCACAAACCACAACCACCGAAAGAGUCACCGCAACAAGAUGAUCCUUAUGAUCAGUCUCCGGUGAAGAACCGACGCAGCCCACCUCCACCUCAUCAAUCUCAGCCUCCGGUGGUUUCCUCUCCUCCACUUCCAUCACCACCACCACCACAAGUCCACUCUCCACCGCCACCUGUUCACUCUCCUCCACCGCCUGUCCACUCUCCUCCACCACCAGUCUAUUCCCCACCGCCACCGCCUGUCUUCUCUCCAC
rnacentral:lncRNA from 1 species